UCUAGAGGCUUCGGCAAUGGGGGAAACCCUGACCGAGCGACGCCGCGUGGAGGAUGAAGCCCUUCGGGGUGUAAACUCCUUUUGUCCGGAAAGAAGGCCCGGAUGGUGAAUCCGGGAUUGACGGUACCGGGCGAAUAAGCCACGGCUAACUCUGUGCCAGCAGCCGCGGUAAGACAGAGGUGGCAAGCGUUAUUCGGAUUUAUUGGGCGUAAAGGGCGCGUAGGCGGCCAGGUGCGUCCGGUGUGAAAACGCUACCGCUUAACGGAGCGAAUGCGCUGGAUACGAUCUGGCUUGAGUCAGGGAGAGGUGAGCGGAAUUCCUGGUGUAACGGUGGAAUGUUUAGAUAUCAGGAGGAACACCGGUGGCGAAGGCGGCUCACUGGCCCUGUACUGACGCUGAGGC
rnacentral:rRNA from 1 species